UACAGGGGGGGCAAGCGUUGUUCGGAAUUACUGGGCGUAAAGGGUCUGUAGGUGGCCAACUAAGUCAGACGUGAAAUCCCUCAGCUUAACCGAGGAACUGCCUGCCAGACUGGAUGGCUCGAGACCGGGAGAGGUGAGUGGAAUUCCCAGUGUAGCGGUGAAAUGCGUAGAUAUUGGGAGGAACACCAGUGGCGAAGGCGGCUCACUGGACCGGUACUGACGCUGAGGCGCGAAAGCGUGGGGAGCAAACAGG
rnacentral:rRNA from 1 species